UACGUAGGUGGCAAGCGUUGUCCGGAAUUAUUGGGCGUAAAGCGCGCGCAGGCGGUCCUUUAAGUCUGAUGUGAAAGCCCACGGCUCAACCGUGGAGGGUCAUUGGAAACUGGGGGACUUGAGUGCAGAAGAGGAGAGUGGAAUUCCACGUGUAGCGGUGAAAUGCGUAGAGAUGUGGAGGAACACCAGUGGCGAAGGCGGCAUCCUGGACCGGUAUUGACGCUGAGGCGCGAAAGCCAGGGGAGCAAACGGG
rnacentral:rRNA from 1 species